GGUUGCUUGGUGUAAUGGUUAGCACAUCAGAUUCUGAUUCUGGGGAUAUUGGUUCGAUUCCUAUAGCGACCU